GGUAGACAUAAAGGUAGACAUAAAGUUAGACAUAAAGCUAGACCCAAAGGUAGACAAAAAGAUAGACAUAAAGGUA